rnacentral:rRNA from 1 species
GACUGGGAUAACCCUGGGAAACUGGGGCUAAUACCGGAUAGGCAAUUUUUCCUGUAAUGGUUCUUUGUUUAAAUGUUUUUUCGCCUAAGGAUGGGUCUGCGGCCGAUUAGGUAGUUGGUUAGGUAAUGGCUUACCAAGCCGUUGAUCGGUACGGGUUGUGAGAGCAAGAGCCCGGAGAUGGAACCUGAGACAAGGUUCCAGGCCCUACGGGGCGCAGCAGGCGCGAAACCUCCACAAUGUGAGAAAUCGCGAUGGGGGGAUCCCAAGUGCCAUUCUUAACGGGAUGGCUUUUCAUUAGUGUAAAAAGCUUUUGGAAUAAGAGCUGGGCAAGACCGGUGCCAGCCGCCGCGGUAACACCGGCAGCUCUAGUGGUAGCAACUUUUAUUGGGCCUAAAGCGUCCGUAGCCGGUUUAAUAAGUCUCUGGUGAAAUCCUGUAGCUUAACUGUGGGAAUUGCUGGAGAUACUAUUAGACUUGAGACCGGGAGAGGUUAGAGGUACUCCCAGGGUAGAGGUGAAAUUCUGUAAUCCUGGGAGGACCGCCUGUUGCGAAGGCGUCUAACUGGAACGGUUCUGACGGUGAGGGACGAAAGUUAGGGGCGCGAACCGGAUUAGAUACCCGGGUAGUCCUAACUGUAAACGAUGCGGACUUGGUGUUGGGGUGGCUUUGAGCUGUUCCAGUGCCGAAGGGAAGCUGUUAGGUCCGCCGCCUGGGAAGUACGGUCGCAAGACUGAAACUUAA